CCGGCUUCCGCCCGGUCUGCCGGCAACGCUGCGGCCCCGCCCACGUCAUGGCGCCCGAGGAGAACGCAGGGACCGAACUCUUGCUGCAGAGUUUCGAGCGCCGCUUCCUGGCGGCGCGCACACUGCGCUCCUUCCCCUGGCAGGUGGGCGGCAGGGCGAACGGAGAGGCUCGCGGGGCUCGCGGGAGUCCAGGGGCAGACGGGACGGGUCUCCGUGCUGAAGCCCCUGACGCUCCCGCCACGUGAGUGCCUGGGCUCCCGCCGGUCAGGGCCGCGCGACCCGGUCCCCGUCCCUGGGGCCUGGCCAGAGUCGCUCGCACCCCUCCUGCGGGGGAAGCUGGGGGCGUCUCCACAGCCUUGGGGGGCAGACGCGCGUUUGGUGUGUGGUACAGUUCACGAUCAUUUUCACGACUUUUUAAAGGCAGUAAUCGUUCUGGUCACUGGGACACAGCUGCCCUCGCCCAUUCUAAAAAGUCAGCGCCCUCAGGACCGCGGAGCUUAGAAGCAAAGUUAAGAGACUCAUCAGAUUCCGAGCUGCUGCGGGAUAUUUUGCACAAGACUGUGAAGCAUCCUGUGUGUGUGAAGCACCCGCCGUCCGUCAAAUAUGCCCGGUGCUUUCUCUCAGAACUCAUCAAAAAGCACGAGGCUGUCCACACAGAGCCUUUGGACGAGCUGUACGAGGCGCUGGCGGAGACCCUGAUGGCCAAGGAGUCCACCCAAGGCCACCGGAGCUAUUUGCUGCCCUCGGGAGGCUCGGUCACACUCUCCGAGAGCACGGCCAUCAUCUCCCACGGUACCACAGGCCUGGUCACAUGGGACGCCGCCCUCUACCUUGCAGAAUGGGCCAUCGAGAACCCGGCAGCCUUCACUAACAGGACUGUCCUAGAGCUUGGCAGUGGUGCUGGCCUCACAGGCCUGGCCAUCUGCAAGAUGUGCCGCCCCCGGGCAUACAUCUUCAGCGACUGUCACAGCCGGGUCCUUGAG
rnacentral:sRNA from 1 species